UACGAAGGGGGCUAGCGUUGCUCGGAAUCACUGGGCGUAAAGCGCACGUAGGCGGACUCUUAAGUCAGGGGUGAAAUCCUGGAGCUCAACUCCAGAACUGCCUUUGAUACUGGGAGCCUUGAGUUCGGGAGAGGUGAGUGGAACUGCGAGUGUAGAGGUGAAAUUCGUAGAUAUUGGGAAGAACACCGGUGGCGAAGGCGGCUCACUGGCUCAUUACUGACGCUCAGGCGCGAUAGCGUGGGGAUCAAACAGG
rnacentral:rRNA from 1 species